AGUCACCUUCACAGAAGCAGUGGGGAGAGUGUUCCCAGACAGAUGGAGUGGGAUGCGAAUGCUCAGCUCAGGAAGUGAGUCCUGAGCAGGAAGAACACAGCUGCCUUCACACCCAAGGCACUUAGCGUUUUCCCAUGAGCAUUUUCACAGGUCAUUAUGCAGCAGCAGCGGAACUGCAGCAAUAAGAGCGAAGACUUGAGUUGUGGUUACGAACGUGGGAUGUGAAGUCAAGUGUUCUGUGUCUGAGUCCCAGCUCACGACUCACCAGCUGUGUGACCUUGGACGAGAGAACUGGGCCUUAGAAAGAAUGUGAAGUGAUUUGCCCCAAAUCACACGGCCGCUGCUGGUGCUUCGACUUGAAGGCAGAUGUGUCUGCAAAACCUGCGCACUUGAUGCCACGCUCUU